CUACGGGUGGCAGCAGUGAGGAAUAUUGGUCAAUGGGCGCGAGCCUGAACCAGCCAUCCCGCGUGCAGGAUGACGGCCCUAUGGGUUGUAAACUGCUUUUCUAUGCCAAGAAACCUGAUUACGUGUAAUCAGUUGCCGGUAGCAUAGGAAUAAGCAUCGGCUAACUCGUGCCAGCAGCCGCGGUAAUACGGAGGAUGCAAGCGUUAUCCGGAUUCAUUGGGUUUAAAGGGUGCGCAGGUGGGCUUGUAAGUCAGUGGUGAAAUGCUGCCGCUUAACGGUAGAACUGCCAUUGAUACUGCGAGUCUUGAGUAUGGUUGAGGUAGGCGGAAUGUGUUGUGUAGCGGUGAAAUGCAUAGAUAUGACACAGAACGCCAAUUGCGAAGGCAGCUUACUAAGCCAUUACUGACGCUGAGGCACGAAAGCGUGGGGAGCGAACAGGAUUAGAUACCCGUGUAGUC
rnacentral:rRNA from 1 species